rnacentral:tRNA from 2 species
GGAGGUGGAGGGGUCCUGGUGGGCCUCCUGGACUUCAAAUCCAGCGCGGGGCGAACUUAAGUCCCGGGUGGGUUCGAUUCCCAUGCACCUCCGCCA